rnacentral:tRNA from 1 species
CGUUCUAUGGCCAAAUUAGUCAAGGCAUCGCCGAUCACAGGUGAAGAUGUGGGUUCGAGUCCCACUGGAACGG